UACGUAGGGGCCGAGCGUUGUCCGGAAUUACUGGGCGUAAAGCGCGCGCAGGCGGCUGAUCAAGCCUGACGUGAAAGCCCCCGGCUCAACCGGGGAGGGUCGUCGGGGACUGAUUGGCUUGAGGGCGGUAGGGGCCGGUGGAAUUCCCGGUGUAGUGGUGAAAUGCGUAGAGAUCGGGAGGAACACCAGUGGCGAAGGCGGCCGGCUGGGCCGACCCUGACGCUGAGGCGCGAAGGCGUGGGGAGCGAACGGG
rnacentral:rRNA from 1 species